rnacentral:rRNA from 1 species
CCUACGGGAGGCAGCAGUGAGGAAUAUUGGUCAAUGGACGAGAGUCUGAACCAGCCAAGUAGCGUGAAGGAUGACUGCCCUAUGGGUUGUAAACUUCUUUUAUAUGGGAAUAAAAUGUUCCACGUGUGGGAUUUUGUAUGUACCAUAUGAAUAAGGAUCGGCUAACUCCGUGCCAGCAGCCGCGGUAAUACGGAGGAUCCGAGCGUUAUCCGGAUUUAUUGGGUUUAAAGGGAGCGUAGGUGGAUUGUUAAGUCAGUUGUGAAAGUUUGCGGCUCAACCGUAAAAUUGCAGUUGAAACUGGCAGUCUUGAGUACAGUAGAGGUGGGCGGAAUUCGUGGUGUAGCGGUGAAAUGCUUAGAUAUCACGAAGAACUCCGAUUGCGAAGGCAGUUCACUGGACUGCAACUGACACUGAGGCUCGAAAGUGUGGAUAUCAAACAGGAUUAGAUACCCCUGUAGUC